rnacentral:pre_miRNA from 1 species
UUCCGAGGUCCACAUCCCGUUUUAGACGGCCUAUUGUUAUUGUUCGUUAUACAAUAACAAUAGGCCGUCUAAAACGGGAUGUGGACCUCGGC